rnacentral:rRNA from 1 species
UACGUAGGGUGCGAGCGUUGUCCGGAAUUAUUGGGCGUAAAGCGCACGCAGGCGGCGAGGUAAGUCAGUUGUGAAACUCCCGGGCUUAACUUGGGAACUGCAGCUGAUACUGCCGUGCUUGAGGACUGGAGAGGAGACUGGAAUUUACGGUGUAGCGGUGAAAUGCGUAGAUAUCGUAAGGAAGACCAGUGGCGAAGGCGGGUCUCUGGACAGUUCCUGACACUGAGGCACGAAGGCCAGGGGAGCAAACGGG